ACUUCCGCCUGCAGUAUCAGUGCAAAAUAAAACGCAAAAGAGUUAAGUCACACAUCACAACCAGCAUCAAAAUGUUGUUCCGAUUUCUGGUGAUUUUUAUGCUGCUGUCUGUAAACUUGCUAGUUUCGGGCAGGGUUUCCCACUUUUCCCGAUCCGGCAGUCCGUGUCCCAGAGGAACGGUGUUCAAAAUGGACGGUGCAUCAGAGUUUCGAAGUUCAGCCCACCGGGAUAUUAUUCCAGCAGCAAUUCUGGGUAGUUGGUGCUCGACGCAGGAAAACAAUCAAACAGCAUAUUUUUGAUAAAUUUCAUAUUGUAAACUAGACUAUAAUAUGUUUUUACGAGUUUAAAAAUGCAUUCAAUAAAAUGAUUUUUGACAAUCGA